GACGAACGCUGGCGGCGUGCUUAACACAUGCAAGUCGAACGGUAAGGCCCUUCGGGGUACACGAGUGGCGAACGGGUGAGUAACACGUGGGUGAUCUGCCCUGCACUCCGGGAUACGCCUGGGAAACUGGGUCUGAUACCGGCUAGGACCACUGCCUUCAUUGGUGGUGGUGGAAAGCGUUUGCGGUGUGGGAUGGGCCCGCGGCCUAGCAGCUUGUUGGUGGGGUGAUGGCCGACCAAGGCGGCGACGGGUAGCCGGCCUGAGAGGGGGACCGGCCACACUGGGACAGAGAUACGGCCCAGACUCCUACGGGAGGCAGCAGGGGGGAAUAUUGCACAAUGGGCGCAAGCCUGAUGCAGCGACGCCGCGUGAGGGAUGACGGCCUUCGGGUUGUAAACCUCUUUCAGCACCGACGAAGCGCAAGUGACGGUAGGUGCAGAAGAAGGACCGGCCAACUACGUGCCAGCCGCCGCCGUAA
rnacentral:rRNA from 1 species